AUGCAUAAUUUUGCAGAAGGCGUUUUGUUCGGGGCCUACCACGUGGAAAGCGCUCGCCAGACGACAGCUGCAACUAUUAAUACAAAUAAACAACUGCGCACCCAAAUAGCGUUAAGGGCCCCGCGAAUUCCUAACUCCCUAUUUCAACUUACCCCUUUGCUUCUUUCCCUGACUACCCCCACACCCGACCGAACCCCACCAGAGGCUGAGCAAGGCGUCGGCGUUUCCAAGAACCAAGGGCUGCAGGCGCACGAGGAAGACGCGGAGGAGUCAGUGAGCGGGCGCGCUCGGAAGCCUGGCUCCCCGUCCCGGCACUGUCUCGGCCGGCUGUGCGACCCCACCACAGUACCCGAGCCCUUUCCGCUCUCGCCCUGAAGGGCUUAUCGAAGAGCGAGAUUUCCUCUCGCGGCAAAACACCAAACUCGGAAGGAGCCGCGCGUUCUUCGCCCAGGGCCCUUACCUUUCUUGGCCCCAUGCGCUCGCCGUUACCUCGGCAACGCCGGCCGUGGGGCGGACACCGCUGCCAUCAAGCAGUGCGGCCGCAAAGCCAGCCUAGUGCGCAGCCGCAGAGCGCCUGUCGGGACUUGGUGGAGUGCGCCUGCGCGUGGCCGGCUGGCGGGUGUUCUGUGCGCCAGCUCUGCCACUGCGGAGUAUGAGGCGGAGGCUGGGUGUGUUCUUUGCUGCUUUCUGCAGGAUUGUACGGAUACCAGAACGGUCCUGCAAGACCCAUUUUACAGAUGAGAUGAAGUUACCCGUCAGAUGUCACAUAGUCACGUGGGAGGUGGGAGAGACCUAGAGUCUUCGGCUCUCGGAGGAUGGGAUAUUUGAGGCGACCGGCAGGACUUUAUAAUUGGCCCUGAGGAAACUGAUCUCAUCUUUCUCAAUGUAGAAAGAGGAUCACAGUAGCGCACCUGUAUACGCUGCAGCAUGCGGAGAACUUGCAAAGACCUUUCCUCUGGCAGACACCUGGCCAGAAGCCUGUGUGUGCCCAGACUGCCUGUGCAGUUAAAGGGACAACAGGUGGCAGGUCCACCUGCUCUGCAUCCCCAUUUUCCCCUUCACUGACUGUGUGAGCCUGAAUGACUGACAACCUUUCUGAGCUUAAGUUUGCUGAAAAAUAGGCCAUCAGAAUUAUGGGAGAUGAGCAAAACUAGAGUGCAAUAGGAAGUGUAAAUUUCUCCUGCCCUGGUUAUUUUAAAGGAGGCCUAUGGGGAGUCCAAUAUAUACCUUCCCAAAUAUGAAUCACAGGAGUUCCACCUCACAGACUAGGCAGGAGGCAAAGAAGGGUUGCAAGGAUGAGCAGCAAAUACUGCUGGAGAGAUUCAUGGUGCUAGAUGUGAUGAUGGAUGUUGAAUUUUGGACCUUUGCCAAUGUUCUUGCCUCCAUUCCUUCAUGCAUGCUGUUGCCUCUAUGUUCCCUCCCUUCUGUUAGCUGCAGUAAUUCCUGGUCAGCCUUUAGGUCUCAGCUCAGAUAUCACCUCUUCCAGGAGACAUCUUGCCUCCCCAGGCGUGCUUGGGUGACUUGCCUCUGCGUUCUGCAGUAGCCUGGCAUGGCCUGUUUUGUCCCUGUUUUUCUGGCCCUUUUUAUUUUUUGAGACGGAGCCUGGCUCUGUCGCCCAGGCUGGAUGGCAGUGGCACCAUCUCAGCUCACUUAGCUCACUGCAACCUCUGCCUCCCAGGUUCAAGUGAUUCUCCUGCCUCAGCCUCCUGAGUAGCUGGGAUUACAGGCACCUGCCACCACGCCCGGCUGAUUGUUAUGUUCUUAGUAGAGACGGGGUUUCACCACGUUGGCCAGGCUGGUCUCAAACUCCUGACCUCAAGCGAUCCUCCCGCCUCAGCCUCCCAAAGUGCUGGGAUUACAGGCGUGAGCCACUGCAUCCCGCCUGGCCCUUUUUGAACUGCACUGUGGCCUUGCUCUUGGUAGAGUGAGAUCAUGUCACAGCAUUCAGUGGCUCCUCUGCUGCCAGGACCUUAACUGCUAGGCUAGGGAGUUCAGGCUUUAGAUAAACCAAAAUCAAAGAGCUUUGUGGUAAGAAUGUUGCAAAAGAAAGGGAGAAAAUUGGCAAGAGUCACAGGAUGUGGUAACAGGAUGGAUUGGGCAGAGGAGCAACAGCUGAAGAGAGGCUGUAAUAUCCAACCAGAACAUGCCAAUUUAAGAAAUACUGGUGUUAGAAUUAGAGGGCUUUAACAAUGAAAGGGAUUCAGAGGUUGUCCAGUUAAACUUCCUUAUUUAACUGAUUAAAAAACAGGUCCAGUGGCACUGUGAGUUGUCAGAGAUAACCAAGCAGGUCUCCUAGAGCCAGAUCUCUUAAAUCCCAUCCCAGCCCGUGGAAGGAUUGGGGUUUGGGAUCUCAAAUUUCCCUCCCAAAAACAUUAAAAAAAAAAAAAAAAAAAAAAAAUUAAAAAAAGAAAAAAAUUCUGGAAAUUUCUAAAAAGAAAGAAAUAGUUCCCCGAGAUUUUCUCGAGUGUAUUUUAAACCCUUUGAUAUGGUUAUUUUCAAACAUACAAUACAAAAGUAGAGAGAAAAUGGUCCAAUAAAUCAUCACUUCCAGCUGGGCAUGGUGGCUCACGCCUGUAAUCCCAGCACUUUGGGAGGCUGAGGCAGGUGGAUCAUCUGAGGUUGGGAGUUUGAGACCAGCCGGACCAACAUGGAGAAACCCUGUCUUUACUAAAAAUACAAAAUUAGCUGGAUGUGAUGGCGCAUGCCUGUAAUCCCAGCUACUCUGGAGGCUGAGGCAAGAUAAUUGCUUGAACAUGGGAGGUGGAGGUUGUGGUGAGCCGAGAUUGCACCAUUGCCCUCCAGCCUAGGCAACAAGAGUGAAACUCCAUCAGAAAAAAAUAAAAUAAAAUAAAAUAUCACUUCCACAACCUUCAACCUUUGGUAUCUCGUUUCUUUUGCAUUCUCCAUAUACACACUUUUAUCUCCUUGCUGGAGUAUUUUAAAACAAUCCCAGACAUUAUAUAACUUCAUCCAUGAUAUUUUAGCAGAUAUCUCUAAUAGAUAAGGACUUAAUUUUAUUACAAUACAUCUGCAUCUACAUUAUAUAUACACACACACACACACACACACUUAUAUCAACUGUGUAGUUCAUUCUCAUUAUUUGAGGUAAUUCUGUUCUAUAAAGUUGUCACAAACACUGAAGUAGAAAAUACUGAACUAUGGGGCCAAGCGCGGUGGCUCACGCCUGUAAUCCCAGCACUGUGGGAGGCCGAGGUGGGUGGAUCACGAGGUCAGGAGAUUGAGACCAUCCUGGCUAACAUGGUGAAACCCCAUCUCUACUAAAAAUACAAAAAAUUAGCCGGGCGAGGUGGCGGGCGCCUGUGGUUCCAGCUACUCGGGAGGCUGAGGCAGGAGAAUGGCGUGAACGCAGGAGGCAGAGCUUGCAGUGAGCCGAGAUCGUGCCACUGCACUCCAGCCUGGGUGAGAGCAAGACUCCGUCUCAAAAAAAAAAAAAAAAAAAAAAGAAAAUACUGAACUAUGUUUCCAGGAGAAAUACAAGGUUAGGUGUCUGUGAGUCUCUGGUCGCAACAUUUUCAUCAACUGGUCAAUACAUAACCUCACUUCAUGUGUUUCUGUUUAAAGACACCUUAUCUAAUUUGUUGAUUCAUCAACAUUGAACUUGCAGCCAACAGCACUAUAACUCCUGCCUAAAGGAGGCUUAUCUAACACACCUAUUUUCUCCAAUAAGGCACAUUUCUUGGGUGGGGAACACCAGACAGCACUUCAGCACUCCACUUGGGGCCAUUUUAAACAGUUAAAUCACCAACAGAAAG
rnacentral:lncRNA from 1 species